CUGGCAGGAGCGACCGGUCACGCACUCUGUGCGUGAACUUGUGUUGUCUCUGGCCAUCCUUGGGGAGAUCCUGUUUGGCAUUAAGUUGUCGGGCAGGGGAUACCCAUCGUUUACUGUGAAAAAAUUAGAGUGUUUAAAGCAGGCUUAUGCCGUUGAAUAUAUUAGCAUGGAAUAAUAAGAUAGGACUUCGGAACUAUUUUGUUGGUUUGCGUUACGAAGUAAUGAUUAAUAGGGACAGUUGGGGGUAUUCGUAUUUCAUUGUCAGAGGUGAAAUUCUUGGAUUUCUGAAAGACGAACUACUGCGAAAGCAUUUACCAAGGAUGUUUUCAUUAAUCAAGAACGAAAGUUAGGGGAUCGAAGAUGAUUAGAUACCAUCGUAGUCUUAACCAUAAACUAUGCCGACUCAGGAUUGGCGGUUGUUUUUUGACUCCGUCAGCACUGUAUGAGAAAUCAA
rnacentral:rRNA from 1 species